UAAAAGCAGCAAUCACCCACU
rnacentral:piRNA from 1 species